UAAGCCGUUGAAGGUGAAUCGUAAGGUUUGCUGGAGGUAUCAGAAGUGCGAAUGCUGACAUGAGUAACGACAAAGGGGGUGAAAAACCUCCUCGCCGGAAGACCAAGGGUUCCUGUCCAACGUUAAUCGGGGCAGGGUGAGUCGACCCCUAAGGUGAGGCCGAAAGGCGUAAUCGAUGGGAAACGGGUUAAUAUUCCCGUACUUCUGACUAUUGCGAUGGGGGGACGGAGAAGGCUAGGUGGGCCAGGCGACGGUUGUCCUGGUUCAAGUGCGUAGGCUUGAGAGUUAGGUAAAUCCGGCUCUCUUUAAGGCUGAGACACGACGUCGAGCUGCUACGGCAGUGAAGUCAUUGAUGCCAUGCUUCCAGGAAA
rnacentral:rRNA from 1 species